UACGGGGGGGGCAAGCGUUGUUCGGAUUCAUUGGGCGUAAAGGGCGCGUAGGCGGCCUUCUAAGUCGAACGUGAAAUCCCCGGGCUCAACCCGGGAACUGCGUCCGAUACUGGAAGGCUUGAAUCCGGGAGAGGGAUGCAGAAUUCCAGGUGUAGCGGUGAAAUGCGUAGAUAUCUGGAGGAAUACCGGUGGCGAAGGCGGCAUCCUGGACCGGCAUUGACGCUGAGGAGCGAAAGCUAGGGGAGCAAACGGGG
rnacentral:rRNA from 1 species